CCAAGACUAACUGAUGAUUGUCAUGUUCCUAAAAUUCUACAAAAAUUUACUUUCUAAAACUCAUCAAUCAUGCAAGCAAUAAUAUUGACAUGGAGGGAAAAACAUACUGAUCUCCUGUUAUUAAUAAAGAGUUUAAAGCUUGAAUGAAUUUUAUUAGCAUGAUGCUUGUAUUUACCAAAGCAAUUCUUGGGUAAAAUUAUGCGGUAGAUUUAUCUAUCCUUGACCCUUGAAUGCAUAAUUGUUUCACCAAAAUUGAAGGAAAAAGAAGAGUGAAAAGGCAUUGCAAGAAUGGAGAAAGAAUGAUUUACCAUGGCCACAAAAUGAACAGGCUUUUUACUGCUAAGAAAUCAGAACUUCCGCCAAAACUUAAGCAAAUGACGAAAUGACCUUUAUCUCCAACAGUCCAACGAGAGAGAGAGAGAGAGAGCCGUAUAUGUAAUGUGUAUUGCAAUAACAGAGACUGAGCAAGCGGUCUCUCUUUGGAAAUGAUUGGCAAGUUUGCUUUAG
rnacentral:misc_RNA from 1 species